rnacentral:rRNA from 1 species
GAUGAACGCUGGCGGCGUGCCUAAUACAUGCAAGUCGAGCGAACAGACGAGGAGCUUGCUCCUCUGACGUUAGCGGCGGACGGGUCAGUAACACGUGGAUAACCUACCUAUAAGACUGGGAUAACUUCGGGAAACCGGAGCUAAUACCGGAUAAUAUAUUGAACCGCAUGGUUCAAUAGUGAAAGACGGUUUUGCUGUCACUUAUAGAUGGAUCCGCGCCGCAUUAGCUAGUUGGUAAGGUAACGGCUUACCAAGGCAACGAUGCGUAGCCGACCUGAGAGGGUGAUCGGCCACACUGGAACUGAGACACGGUCCAGACUCCUACGGGAGGCAGCAGUAGGGAAUCUUCCGCAAUGGGCGAAAGCCUGACGGAGCAACGCCGCGUGAAUGAUGAAGGUCUUCGGAUCGUAAAACUCUGUUAUUAGGGAAGAACAAAUGUGUAAGUAACUAUGCACGUCUUGACGGUACCUAAUCAGAAAGCCACGGCUAACUACGUG